CGCGGCCGCUGGUGACUCACGGCGCCGCGCCGGGCCCCGGUUGGCUCGCCAGCGCCGCCCGCCCCCGCUUCCUCCGCCGCGGCACCUGCGGCCGUGCCGCACACAGGGACGGCUCGGCUCGGCUCGACUCGACUCGGCUCGGCGCGGCACGAGGGAAGCCCUCUUUGAAUCACAUCCAGUUGUGUUGUGACUCCACUGAAGACAAAUCAUACCACCACGUGAAUAACUUCGGAGUGGAUUAUCUCUUGUAGCUCACGUAACAAAUGAGCAUCCAGGUCAUCCAAAUGGGCACAGCUGAUGUAUCAGAGACUUGUUAAAAAAGUCAAGAUUUUAUUUCGUGUAACUGAAAUACAUCUGGGAAUGAUAUUUCUGAUAUGUGUGUAAAUGUGAAGAGAGCAGUUCCUAGUGUUUGCCUCCCUACAGCCCCUUGACCUUACGGCCUCAGGGGCAGUGGGAGGACUCUGCUAUCCCAGCCUGCCUGGUAUGUGGCGCUAGACGCUACAGCAUUGUUCUUGCAAACUAUGCUGCUUCAAGCAAGAAAAAUCUCUUGUGUACAAGGGGGUUGACUGGGGUCCUCAGGAAGAUGGCUUAGUGUAAGUGGUACACUGAAAACAUCAUUCUCCUUGCAGAUCUUCAGCAUGACAUACUGCCUUCAGUCGGGUGCUCACUCUUGCAUGGUCUGCUGUGCUUUGGUCUGGACAGCAUUUUCACAAAUGUCCUGUUGUCAUUACAGAAGUAUUUUAUAAGCCAUAUACUGAGUGCAGCAGUACAUGAGAAGACUCCAGUCAUGCAGAAAUACAAGGUUGGACAUAACUUAGUGUAUGCUGGUAGUUGAUGGUCUUAUUUGUUUGUCUAUGGAAGAAGAUAACAGAUUUACUGAAGGGAGGAAAAAGUAGUCUGUCCCCUGCAUUAUCACUGCUCCAUGAGCACCUACACCUGGCUUUGUGAUGGGGAAGCAACUUUCUAUCUUGGAUGUACCUAGCUCUUUGCCUACCUAGAGGUUUCGAUUCCAAAACGGAACACGCUAUGAAAUAAUUUUUGGCAUUUCAACUAAGUUAAAAUGCGUAAGUAAGUAAGUACAUGAGUCUGAUCAUCCAGAGGCUCUGGUGGAAUCUCCAGAAAAGGAUCUCAGACAGGAAAGGACUUUUCCUUCCUUAGCACCAUCCUUACAGGAACUCUAUUUAAGAAAAAGGCAAGUAGCCUGUCAGCCCCUACAAGGAGAUCCCUGGGAGGCAUGAGCCAUCUGCACGGCGGUUUCAUGCCUUUACAGCAGCCAUAGUCUUGCAAAGGCUUGCUUCAUGUGGCAAUGGGAAGGUGUCUGGAGGGAUCUGCAGUAUGUGUUACAAAUUGCCAUGUCACUGUUCAUACACAAUAUGAACAAAUACAAGAAUACAAGCCAGAAUAGAUCUGUACAGGAGAACUGAAAUAAAAUUGUGUGUUUCUGUUGGAAAUAUGUGCACUUGGGAGAAUAGCAGUCCUGUGUUCAUGAUAAUUACAUAGGAGCAAAGCACCCAGUAGCAUCUAAUGUUUAGGAAAGGUGCUGAAUUUUGUAGGGAAUGUGAGCUGGCUUUUGUAACUUAAGUCGUUUCAUCAUCAGCCUAGGAAAUGCAUUAACAUUUGCUUUGUUUCUGUGUGUGACCCUCUGUCACCUUUGUUUUUUUCCAUGUCUGCUUGAGUUGAACUUCUUCAGCUGUGGGGAAGUCAGGAAGCUGCAGACAGAGGGUGGAUGAGAAAGUGGGCAACCUCAGGGAGUGCAGAGAGGGAGUGUAACAAGAAGGCUGGGAUCGCCACCUCGGGUAAGCAAGUUCCCAUAGUCAAGAACAAUCUCAAAGAGUGCGCCUGGCGCUGCCCUCAGAACUGGUCUAGGUCCAUCUCCUGUUACUAUUUUCAUUAAUGUAUAUUUGUAGUAAUGUUAUCAAAUAUGUAUUAUAAAUAUGUAUAUAUUAUGUGAAGGGUACAGGGCUUGUGUUUCCAAAACCCCUUAGGCAUUAUGGAGGAGUAGGUUCUAACUAACCAGGCUGGCUGAGACACUAGAGAAAAAGAUUCCUAAACCAUGUUUCUAACGGUGUCUUCUUCUAUUGUACUGAGGAGUCACUGGGAUUCAGUGGAGUUUCACCAGAUAUGAAGGUUUGUUGCAGAUUUCUCAUUUGUGAUAAUAGGACAUGCCAUCUUUCUGAGGGUAUUCUGCAGAACAAUCUGUGUGUGCACGAAGAACUGUAAAAUGUCAAGUGGUAUACGGUACUAAAUAUUAUGCGUAAUAGCUUUAUUGCUGCUGUUUUUAGAGAAGUCGCCAUCCUGUUUUCUGACCCAUAACUGAUGAAUAUUCUUCAAUGCCUAGUGCUAUUCCCUUGAGAAGAGCUGGAAAAGAUUGCCAAGAAGCUAACUGAACCAGUUAGGCAUUGCCUUUGCCUUAGAAAUGACAUGAGUAACAAGAAAUGGCAUCUUAUUACCUUUCCUUUUGGGCGUUGUGGUGGAUACUGGGACCUCAGAGACUUUCCAACAUCAAUCCCCCUGAUAAUGCAUUUGAAUUUAUAAUAGGUUUGGACCCUUUGGGAUAAUUAAUUUACUCUGUUGGUUAUAGAGUGUAAAGUCAACUUACAAGAGAAAAUAAAGAACAGAAAGGACCUUCUGGAGUACACAUAGUAUGAAUUCAGUGUGUUUUGUGUUCCUUUCUCUUUUCACCCUAAAGACUGUAGCCUCCAUUUCUAAGUGAGUUCCUGAAGCACUGGGAUUACUAAUUCACCUUCAGGUCUUAAAUCGAUGGGACUUUUGCCUCCAGCUCCUCUGGUGAAGGACCUGAAGUGAGGAUAUGUCUACAGUAUGCAACUUAAUCUAUUAAAGAAAAGGAAAGCCUCAUGAGUAGAAAAAGCAGCAGAUACAUAUCAUGGGAUAGCAUCCUGCCUUAGGAUCACUUGCAAAAAUAUUUUCUUCAUUAUGUCCUGCCAUCAAAGACAUUAGCUGCUUAUAAGAUCAUUGCAUGCCUGAACUAACAGUAAUGGAAGAAGGUGUACACAUGGCUGUAUUUUGGAAGUGCAGAGCCAGGAUCUGUAUUACUGACUUCAGAGGAGUUGUACAGAGCAUGAGAGAAACAGAAUGCAUCCUUUGGGAAUAAUUUAAAAUAGUUCAUGUCUUCACAGUGACUCAGAGGCCCAGGAGCUGUUAACAAAGUCAAUAAUCAGGAGGGUUGCUCACUCUGCACUGGCAGAUGAGAUUAUGUCAAUAUGAAAGUCAGCUUCAGACAGUAUUUCCUGUGAAGGAUUGGAAGUAGGAUACUGUGAAAAUCCACAUGAAGGAACAAUUAAUGUGAGUUAUGCCUUUCUGUAACCAUGUCAUCUGGGAUGCUGUGAGAAAUUGAAAAUGCCCUAAUGGUCAGAUGCUCAUCAAUUAAAGAACUUUCUGUUUCUAAUUAGCUCCCUGAGAAGAAUUCAUUGUAGGAAUGAAAAAUUUUAUAGGUGCACUGAGUGAGGCAUUGUUUUUAUUACAAGACUGAUUUUCCUUUCAAUGAGAGCAUUAUUUCUGUUGCCAAAAAUUAUUUUUAAAAAGCCUUAAUAGAGAAGAAAAGAAGGAAACAGCUGGUUUGUUUCUAUCUAGCAGACUUGUUCUUGUGAGCUAUUUAUCAUAAUUAAUUAGUAGCUAGGGUGCAAACAACACAACAGCUUUAAGCCCCUUCCCCCCACCCCAACCCCCCCAAAAAAUAAAAUUCCAAAAUAAUAAUCCAAAUUAAAACUGCCAAAGCUACUUUUUAUGAAGUCAGAUCAAGAGGUACUGUUUCAGUUUUUUAGUCAAUGAG